GAUGAACGCUGGCGGCGUGCCUAAUACAUGCAAGUCGAGCGAACAGACGAGGAGCUUGCUCCUCUCACGUUAGCGGCGGACGGGUGAGUAACACGUGGAUAACCUACCUAUAAGACUGGGAUAACUUCGGGAAACCGGAGCUAAUACCGGAUAAUAUCUUGAACCACAUGGUUCAAUGGUGAAAGACGGUUUUGCUGUCACUUCUCGCUGGUUCCGGGCCGCAUUAGCUGGUUGGUAAGGUAACAGCUUACCAAGGGAACGAUGCGUAGCCGACCUGAGAGGGUGAUAGGCCACACUGGAACUGAGACAGGGUCCAGACUACUACGGGAGGGAGCAGUAGGGAAUCGUCCGCAAUGGGCGAAAGCAUGACGGAGCAACGCCGCGUGAGUUAUGAAGGUGUUCGGAGCGUAAAACUCUGUUACUAGGGAAGAACAAAUGUGGAAGUAACUAUGCACGUCUUGACGGUACCGAAUAAGAAAGCCCCGGCUAACUACGUG
rnacentral:rRNA from 1 species